GCCCGGAUAGCUCAGUCGGCAGAGCAUCAGACUUUUAGUCUGAGGGUCCAGGGUUCAAGUCCCUGUUCGGGCG
rnacentral:tRNA from 1 species